AUUGAACGCUGGCGGCAGGCCUAACACAUGCAAGUCGAGCGAGCGGCGGACGGGUGAGUAAUGUCUGGGAAACUGCCUGAUGGAGGGGGAUAACUACUGGAAACGGUAGCUAAUACCGCAUACCAUCAGAUGUGCCCAGAUGGGAUUAGCUAGUAGGUUGGGUAACGGCUCACCUAGGCGACGAUCCCUAGCUGGUCUGGGAGUAUGACCAACCACAGUGGAGUUGUGACCCGGUCAAGACUCCUCGGGGAGGAGGAAGUGGGGAAUAUUGCACAAGGGGCGCAAGCCUGAUGCAGCACUGCAGCGUGUGUGAAGAAGGCCUUCGGGUUUUAAAGCACUUUCAGCGGGGAGGCGUUGCCAGCAGAAGAAGCAACGGCUAACUCCGUGCCAGCAGCCGCGGUAAUAC
rnacentral:rRNA from 1 species